rnacentral:rRNA from 1 species
CAGCAGCCGCGGGAAUACGAAGGGGGCUAGCGUUGCUCGGAAUGACUGGGCGUAAAGGGCGCGUAGGCGGUUUUGACAGUCAGAUGUGAAAUUCCUGGGCUUAACCUGGGGGCUGCAUUUGAGACGUCAAGACUAGAGUGUGAGAGAGGGUUGUGGAAUUCCCAGUGUAGAGGUGAAAUUCGUAGAUAUUGGGAGGAACAUCAGUGGCGAAGGCGGCCAUCUGGGACAACACUGACGCUGAGGCACGAAAGCGUGGGGAGCAAACAGGAUUAGAUACCCCGGUAGUCCCUGUCUCUUAUAA